UCGAUUUCUUUCCCCCUUUCCAGAACCCAUUCAUUUCCUCCUCUAGAUUUCUUCUUCCCCCAGAAAUCCCCUUCGUGGCCCAUCACAGACCUAAUUCUUGCAACUCAUUCCAUCAUUUACAAUCGAAGUUGACCCACGAAACCAACGUAAGUGGUCCUCAAGCACGAUGUCUGUAGAAUCAUUCGUCUUCAUCAAGCACGGCAACCAAGCACGAUUCCUCUUCCUCAAGCACGAUUCCUCUUCAUCAAGCAUGAUUUGUCUUCCUCAAGCAAUAUUUCCCCCAUUCCCACGAAAGCCUCACCUUCCCACUCGAAACCGCAGUCCAUUCGAAACCGAAACCCUAAUCAUUAUCCAACCCGCGACGUAAUCCCUUGAGAAAGAUACAAUGAGCUGUCAAGGAGCCAAAAAGAGCUUGAGAAGAAACUCGAAGACAUCAAGAGGAGGGAGAUUGAGCUUUGUAAGAGAUUGGAUGAGAUCGAGAAGAGAGAGUUGGGACCUCCGGAGCAAGAAGUUGAAAUAUUGCGUUCACGCAGAUUACUCCGGCUAUAUUGGCCUUUUGUAGUUGUUGUGUCAUGUUAUGUAAUAGUAUGUAGGUGAUUUUGGAACUUGAUAUAUGUUGUAAAAUUUGUAGGCUUAUGUUAGACUAAUUAGAUGGUGCUUACCAGAGUUCACCAACGAAUUUUGUCAAAUUUGUACUUUGCUUAAGUUUCUAAAGUGAUUUGGGAUUGAGUUUUGUAUAAAUGAAUGAUUAGUUUAACUUUUUGAUGUUCUUUAAUCUAACUAGUCUGUAAUAGGAUUGCUUCAAAAUUUGUAAUUAGAUGUUUGUUGUUUGUCAC